AUGGUGAAUAGAGGCGCGGUGCGCCAGGUAGCAUCGUAAUGCAAAGGGUUGGCAGGCCCGAUGAACGAUGGGAAUGGGACCACCGCCGAAGGGGUAGGGACGCUGUUGGGUACUACUCCUGCGUCGUACGCUCAGUGCGUACGGAGUGUCAUGACUACAUGGUGCGCUAUUUACAUGCGGGUGAUUUCCCGGAUGUAAAUAGUGCGCCUUUUUAUUCUGCGUCAUGAAGCGCUGUUCGUUUU
rnacentral:ncRNA from 1 species